rnacentral:rRNA from 1 species
CCUACGGGAGGCAGCAGUAAGGAAUAUUGGUCAAUGGGGGCAACCCUGAACCAGCCAUGCCGCGUGCAGGAUGAAGGCCCUAUGGGUCGUAAACUGCUUUUAUACCGGAGAAAACCACCGUACGUGUACGGUGUUGAUAGUAUGGUAAGAAUAAGCAUCGGCUAACUUCGUGCCAGCAGCCGCGGUAAGACGAAGGAUGCAAGCGUUAUCCGGAUUCAUUGGGUUUAAAGGGUGCGUAGGCGGACCUGUAAGUCAGUGGUGAAAUCUCUUUGCUUAACAAGAAACUGCCAUUGAUACUGCAAGUCUAGAGUAUAGAUGACGUUGGCGGAAUAUGACAUGUAGUGGUGAAAUACCUUAGAUAUGUCAUAGAACACCGAUUGCGAAGGCAGCUAACGAACUAUAACUGACGCUGAGGCACGAAAGUNCGGGGAUCAAACAGGAUUAGAUACCCUGGUAGUCCGNACCGUAACGANNAUACUCUGUGUNAUAUNCGUCGCG